rnacentral:rRNA from 1 species
GUAUAAGCAAUUAUACCGUGAAACUGCGAAUGGCUCAUUAAAUCAGUUAUCGUUUAUUUGAUAAUACCUUACUACUUGGAUAACCGUGGUAAUUCUAGAGCUAAUACAUGCUGAAAAUCCCGACUUCGGAAGGGAUGUGUUUAUUAGAUAAAAAACCAAUGCCCUUCGGGGCUUUUUGGUGAUUCAUGAUAACUUUACGGAUCGCAUAGCCUUGCGCUGGCGACGGUUCAUUCAAAUUUCUGCCCUAUCAACUUUCGAUGGUAAGGUAUUGGCUUACCAUGGUUUCAACGGGUAACGGGGAAUUAGGGUUCGAUUCCGGAGAGGGAGCCUGAGAAACGGCUACCACAUCCAAGGAAGGCAGCAGGCGCGCAAAUUACCCAAUCCCGACACGGGGAGGUAGUGACAAUAAAUACUGAUACAGGGCUCUUUUGGGUCUUGUAAUUGGAAUGAGUACAAUUUAAACCUCUUAACGAGGAACAAUUGGAGGGCAAGUCUGGUGCCAGCAGCCGCGGUAAUUCCAGCUCCAAUAGCGUAUAUUAAAGUUGUUGCAGUUAAAAAGCUCGUAGUUGAAACUUGGGCCUGGCUGGCGGGUCCGCCUCACCGCGUGCACUCGUCCGGCCGGGCCUUCCUUCUGAAGAACCUCAUGCCCUUCACUGGGCGUGCUGGGGAAUCAGGACUUUUACUUUGAAAAAAUUAGAGUGUUCAAAGCAGGCCUUUGCUCGAAUACGUUAGCAUGGAAUAAUAAAAUAGGGCGUGCGUUUCUAUUUUGUUGGUUUCUAGAGACGCCGCAAUGAUUAACAGGAACAGUCGGGGGCAUCAGUAUUCAGUUGUCAGAGGUGAAAUUCUUGGAUUUACUGAAGACUAACUACUGCGAAAGCAUUUGCCAAGGAUGUUUUCAUUAAUCAGUGAACGAAAGUUAGGGGAUCGAAGACGAUCAGAUACCGUCGUAGUCUUAACCGUAAACUAUGCCGACUAGGGAUCGGGCGAUGUUCUUUUUCUGACUCGCUCGGCACCUUACGAGAAAUCAAAG